CCUACGGGCGGCAGCAGUGAGGAAUAUUGGUCAAUGGGCGCGAGCCUGAACCAGCCAAGUAGCGUGAAGGAUGACUGCCCUACGGGUUGUAAACUUCUUUUAUAAAGGAAUAAAAUGUUCCACGUGUGGGAUUUUGUAUGUACCAUAUGAAUAAGGAUCGGCUAACUCCGUUCCAGCAGCCGCGGUAAUACGGAGGAUCCGAGCGUUAUCCGGAUUUAUUGGGUUUAACGGGAGCGUAGGUGGAUUGUUAAGCAAGUUGUGAAAGUUUGCGGCUCAACCGUAAAAUUGCAGUUGAAACUGGCAGACUGGAGUACAGUAGAGGUGGGCGGAAUUCGUGGUGUAGCGGUGAAAUGCUUAGAUAUCACGAAGAACUCCGAUUGCGAAGGCAGCUCACUGGACUGCAACUGACACUGAGGCUCGAAAGUGUGGGUAUCAAACAGGAUUAGAUACCCUAGUAGUC
rnacentral:rRNA from 1 species